CUACAUUUUAAGAGGUAGACAACUCUCCAAGUGUGUUUCUUCCACCAAACCCCAAACACUGUAAUGAAAACAGUCCUUAUUAAAAUAAAGCACUUGAAGUAUGUUGUCAGAACGUAUAUGAAUCAAAGGGUAAGUCUUCAUGGAAGAACUUGGAACAUAAAUUCCCCUCAGCUGAAGUGGAGUAGGAAUGUAUACAAAAGAAAAUUACAAAUGGAGAUAAGUCUAAAAUAAGUGCCACAUAUGGAUGGUUUUGUUCAUAUCGUGGCUGCUGAACAGCCAUGAGGAUGUUGUGCACUUUGCCAGCUCCUGGAGCGCUGUGAUCUGUCCUAAGACCUGGCCACACCAACUCUGUGUUUUCAGGAAUGGGUUGCACUGCCCUGGGCUCUUCCAGCAACUGUCCACUCCAUCAGCUGCCAGAGGCAGAAGGAAAACAGCAAUAAAGCUGCACAGAGAGAAAACAAAUAAUUCCUGGUUCCUGAGGGCACUGGGAAAGGAAACACAGAUAUGCCUGUGGGAACAAGGCGAAGCAGAUUUGUGCAUGUUACAACUUGAUUCUCAGUGAGAAAUGGACCAAAAUACUUCCAAAAAACUUAGGAGGGAAACGUAAAAAUUUUAAAAAUUGUCCUGUAGAGUUACCAAAUUAAACUCAGAGUUUGGAAAUGGCAUUUUCAUUCAAAACUGACUGCAAAAUAAAAUCAACUUAAUAAUCCUAAAAUAAAUAAAUAUGUAUAUAUUUCAAUUACAUUCUUCAUUUUAGCAAUUUACUCGGAAUGGAUUUUUUUCUUUAUUUAUCAUCAUUUGAUUUGGACAGAAUAAAAAG
ensembl:lncRNA